AUUGGAUCCAAAAGAGCAUGUGGUAACAUCAAAUGCCAAAUUGGACACAUACAUACGGUAUGAAAAUUUACGCAGAAGACAAGGACCCAUCACUCCAGAGUCUAGGAAAGUUGGGCAAAUGUAAUCUUUUUAUGGAAAAAUGCAAAACCUGUCAGCCAUCAACCCUAGCAGAG